UGGGGAAUAUUGGGCAAUGGGCGAAAGCCUGACCCAGCAACGCCGCGUGAUUGAAGAAGGUCUUCGGAUUGUAAAGAUCUGUCCUAUGGGACGAAGAAAGUGACGGUACCAUAGGAGGAAGCCCCGGCUAACUACGUGCCAGCAGCCGCGGUAAUACGUAGGGGGCUAGCGUUGUCCGGAAUUACUGGGCGUAAAGGGUGCGUAGGCGGCAUCUUAAGUCAGAUGUGAAAUAUCCGGGCUUAACCCGGAGGGUGCAUUUGAAACUGGGAUGCUUGAGGGCAGGAGAGGAAAGUGGAAUUCCUAGUGUAGCGGUGAAAUGCGUAGAUAUUAGGAGGAACACCAGUGGCGAAGGCGACUUUCUGGACUGUAACUGACGCUGAGGCACGAAAGCGUGGGGAGCAAACA
rnacentral:rRNA from 1 species